rnacentral:rRNA from 1 species
CCUACGGGUGGCAGCAGUGGGGAAUAUUGGGCAAUGGGCGCAAGCCUGACCCAGCAACGCCGCGUGAAGGAAGAAGGCCCUCGGGUUGUAAACUUCUUUUAUCAAGGACGAAACAAAUGACGGUACUUGAUGAAUAAGCCACGGCUAACUACGUGCCAGCAGCCGUGGUAAUACGUAGGUGGCAAGCGUUAUCCGGAUUUACUGGGUGUAAAGGGAGUGUAGGCGGGACGGUAAGUGAGAUGUGAAAACCAUGGGCUCAACCCAUGGCCUGCAUUGGGAACUGGAGUGCUUGAGUGUUGGGGAGGCAGGCGGAAUUCGGUGUGUAGCGGUGAAAUGCGUAGAUAUACGGAGGAACACCAGUGGCGAAGGUGGCAUGCUGGAGAAUAACUGACGCUGAGGCGCGAAGGCGUGGGGAGCAAACAGGAUUAGAUACCCUUGUAGUC